rnacentral:tRNA from 2 species
GGGCAGGUAAGUCUAGCGGCGAAGACGGCGGACUGUAAAUCCGUUACAUUAGAAACAUCGUUGGUUCGAGUCCAACCCUGCCCACUA